CCUACGGGAGGCAGCAGUGGGGAAUUUUGGACAAUGGGCGAAAGCCUGAUCCAGCAAUGCCGCGUGAGUGAAGAAGGCCUUCGGGUUGUAAAGCUCUUUUGUCAGGGAAGAAACGGUGAGGGCUAAUAUCUCUUGCUAAUGACGGUACCUGAAGAAUAAGCACCGGCUAACUACGUGCCAGCAGCCGCGGUAAUACGUAGGGUGCAAGCGUUAAUCGGAAUUACUGGGCGUAAAGCGUGCGCAGGCGGUUUUGUAAGUCUGUCGUGAAAUCCCCGGGCUCAACCUGGGAAUUGCGAUGGAGACUGCAAGGCUAGAAUCUGGCAGAGGGGGGUAGAAUUCCACGUGUAGCAGUGAAAUGCGUAGAGAUGUGGAGGAACACCGAUGGCGAAGGCAGCCCCCUGGGUCAAGAUUGACGCUCAUGCACGAAAGCGUGGGGAGCAAACAGGAUUAGAUACCCUGGUAGUCCACGCCCUAAACGAUGUCUACUAGUUGUCGGGUUUUAAUUAACUUGGUAACGCAGCUAACGCGUGAAGUAGACCGCCUGGGGGAGGUACGGUCGCGAGAAUUAAACGUUAAAGUAGUAGUAGNGNGNGAGAGCGACGACGACGACGACGGAGGGAGGAGG
rnacentral:rRNA from 1 species